UACGGAGGGUGCAAGCGUUAUCCGGAUUCACUGGGCGUAAAGGGCGCGUAGGCGGCUAUUCAAGUCAGGGGUGAAAGCCUGAGGCUCAACCUCAGAAUUGCCUUUGAUACUGUUUAGCUAGAGACCGGAAGAGGUAAGUGGAACUGCGAGUGUAGAGGUGAAAUUCGUAGAUAUUCGCAAGAACACCAGUGGCGAAGGCGGCUUACUGGUCCGGUUCUGACGCUGAGGCGCGAAAGCGUGGGGAGCAAACAGG
rnacentral:rRNA from 1 species